rnacentral:rRNA from 1 species
UUUCCUACGGGGGGGCAGCAGUAGGGAAUCUUCGGCAAUGGACGGAAGUCUGACCGAGCAACGCCGCGUGAGUGAAGAAGGUUUUCGGAUCGUAAAGCUCUGUUGUAAGAGAAGAACGAGUGUGAGAGUGGAAAGUUCACACUGUGACGGUAUCUUACCAGAAAGGGACGGCUAACUACGUGCCAGCAGCCGCGGUAAUACGUAGGUCCCGAGCGUUGUCCGGAUUUAUUGGGCGUAAAGCGAGCGCAGGCGGUUAGAUAAGUCUGAAGUUAAAGGCUGUGGCUUAACCAUAGUAGGCUUUGGAAACUGUUUAACUUGAGUGCAAGAGGGGAGAGUGGAAUUCCAUGUGUAGCGGUGAAAUGCGUAGAUAUAUGGAGGAACACCGGUGGCGAAAGCGGCUCUCUGGCUUGUAACUGACGCUGA